CAUGCUUUAAGCGGGAUAAGUGACGUAAGCUAACGCGUUAAGCGAGCCGCCNUGGGGAGUACGAGCGCAAGCUUAAAACUCAAAGGAAUUGACGGGGGAGCGCACAACCAGUGGAGCGUGUGGUUUAAUUCGAUACAAAGCGAACAACCUUACNUGGAUUUGACAUGUAUUUUACGUUCUACCGAAAGGAUAGUUCUAAACGAAUACACAGCCGCUGCAUGGCUGUCGUCAGCUCGUGCCGUGGGGUGUCGGCUUCAGUGCCGUAACGAGNGCAACCCUUGUUNUAUGUUAAAUUGUACAUAGAAGACUGCCUGCCGAUGAGGUGGGAGGAAGGCGGGGAUUACGUCAAGUCAGCAUGGCGCUUACAUCCAGGGCUACACACACCCUACAAUGGGGGGGACAACGGGUCGNCAAGCCGCGAGGUGGAGCUAAUCCUCCAAACCCUCCAUCAGUUGGGAUUGCAGGAUGCAAUUCGCGUGCAUGAACCUGGAAUUAGGUAGUAAUCGCGUAAUCAG
rnacentral:rRNA from 1 species